rnacentral:rRNA from 1 species
GUAGGUGGCAAGCGUUGUCCGGGAAUUAUUGGGGCGUAAAGCGCGCGCAGGCGGUUCUUUAAGUCUGAUGUGAAAGCCCACGGGCUCAACCGUGGAGGAUCAUUGGAAACUGGAGAACUUGAGUACAGAAGAGGAAAGCGGAAUUCCACGUGUAGCGGUGAAAUGCGUAGAGAUGUGGAGGAACACCAGUGGCGAAGGCGGCUUUCUGGUCUGUAACUGACGCUGAGGCGCGAAAGCGUGGGGAGCAAACAGGAUUAGAUACCCUGGUAGUCCACGCCGUAAACGAUGAGUGCUAAGUGUUAGGGGGUUUCCGCCCCUUGGUGCUGCAGCUAACGCAUUAAGCACUCCGCCUGGGGAGUACGGCCGCAAAGGCUG